rnacentral:rRNA from 1 species
CAUGCAAGUCGAGGGGCAGCGCAGAUAGCAAUAUCGGGCGGCGACCGGCGGACGGGUGCGUAACACGUAUGCAACUUACCCCAUACUGGGAAAUAGCCCGGAGAAAUCCGGAUUAAUGUCCCAUAACAUCAGGAAAGGCAUCUUUCUUGGUUAAAAGUUCCGACGGUAUGGGAUGGGCAUGCGCCCCAUUAGCUUGUUGGUGAGGUAAAGGCUCACCAAGGCAACGAUGGGUAGGGGGCCUGAGAGGGUGAUCCCCCACACUGGAACUGAGACACGGUCCAGACUCCUACGGGAGGCAGCAGUAAGGAAUAUUGGUCAAUGGAGGCAACUCUGAACCAGCCAUGCCGCGUGCAGGAAGACGGCCCUACGGGUUGUAAACUGCUUUUAUAUGGGAAGAAACCUUUGGACGUGUCCGAAGCUGACGGUACCAUAUGAAUAAGGGUCGGCUAACUCCGUGCCAGCAGCCGCGGUAAUACGGAGGGUGCAAGCGUUAUCCGGAUUCACUGGGUUUAAAGGGAGCGCAGGUGGGCUAGUAAGUCAGUGGUGAAAUCUCCGAGCUUAACUCGGAAAUUGCCGUUGAUACUAUUAGUCUUGAAUAUUGUGGAGGUUAGCGGAAUAUGUCAUGUAGCGGUGAAAUGCUUAGAUAUGACAUGGAACACCAAUUGCGAAGGCAGCUGGCUACACAAAUAUUGACACUGAGGCUCGAAAGCGUGGGGAUCAAACAGGAUUA